GAUGAACGCUGGCGGCGCGCUUAACACAUGCAAGUCGAACGAUUAAGACCCCUUCGGGGGUGUAUAGAGUGGCGAACGGGUGAGUAACACGUGACUAACCUGCCCCUUACAUCGGGACAACAGCUGGAAACGGCUGCUAAUACCGGAUACUUCUUAUCUGCGGCAUCGCGGAUAAGAGAAAGCCUUUACGGUAAGGGAUGGGGUCGCGUCCGAUUAGCUAGUUGGUGAGGUAAUGGCCCACCAAGGCAACGAUCGGUAGCCGGCCUGAGAGGGUGAUCGGCCACAUUGGGACUGAGACACGGCCCAAACUCCUACGGGACGCAGCAGUGGGGAAUUUUGCGCAAUGGGGGAAACCCUGACGCAGCGACGCCGCGUGCGGGAUGAAGGCCUUCGGGUUGUAAACUUCUUUGAUGAGGGACGAAUAAAUGACGGUACCUCAAAAACAAGCCACGGCUAACUACGUGCCAGCCGCCGCAGUAA
rnacentral:rRNA from 1 species